rnacentral:rRNA from 1 species
AGGACGAACGCUGGCGGCGUGCCUAACACAUGCAAGUCGAACGCUGUCCAUUCGGUGGCAACACCGAUGAAGACGGAGUGGCGAACGGGUGAGUAGCACGUGAGCAACCUGCCCCGAAGACCGGGACAACACCGGGAAACCGGUGCUAAUACCGGAUGCCCCCACCGGGCCGCAUGACCUGGUGAGGAAAUGGAUUCCGCUUCGGGAGGGGCUCGCGGCCUAUCAGCUAGUUGGUGGGGUAAUGGCCUACCAAGGCGUCGACGGGUAGCUGGUCUGAGAGGACGAUCAGCCACACUGGGACUGAGACACGGCCCAGACUCCUACGGGAGGCAGCAGUGGGGAAUCUUGCGCAAUGGGCGAAAGCCUGACGCAGCAACGCCGCGUGGGGGACGAAGGCUUUCUGAGUUGUAAACCCCUUUCAGCAGGAACGAUAGUGACGGUACCUGCAGAAGAAGCACCGGCCAACUACGUGCCAGCAGCCGCGGUGAUACGUAGGGUGCAAGCGUUGUCCGGAUUUAUUGGGCGUAAAGAGCUCGUAGGCGGUUUGAUAAGUCGGAUGUGAAACCCCCAGGCUUAACCUGGGGCCGCCAUUCGAUACUGUCAUGGCUAGAGUCCGGUAGGGGACCAUGGAAUUCCUGGUGUAGCGGUGAAAUGCGCAGAUAUCAGGAGGAACACCAGUGGCGAAGGCGGUGGUCUGGGCCGGAACUGACGCUGAGGAGCGAAAGCGUGGGGAGCGAACAGGAUUAGAUACCCUGGUAGUCCACGCCGUAAACGUUGGGCACUAGGUGUGGGGCCUAUUCAACGGGUUCCGUGCCGCAGCUAACGCAUUAAGUGCCCCGCCUGGGGAGUACGGCCGCAAGGCUA